UGGGGAAUAUUGGACAAUGGGGGGAACCCUGAUCCAGCCAUGCCGCGUGUGUGAAGAAGGCCUUCGGGUUGUAAAGCACUUUCAGAGGGGAGGAAGGCCUGUUGGCUAAUAUCCAACAGGAUUGACGUUACCCUCAGAAGAAGCACCGGCAAACUCCGUG
rnacentral:rRNA from 1 species